rnacentral:rRNA from 1 species
UACAGAGACUGCAAGCGUUAUUCGGAUUCACUGGGCGUAAAGGGUGCGCAGGCGGUCGUGUGUGUCAGGUGUGAAAUCUCGGAGCUCAACUCCGAAACUGCGCCUGAAACUACAUGACUAGAGCAUUGGAGAGGGUAGCGGAAUUCACGGUGUAGCAGUGAAAUGCGUAGAUAUCGUGAGGAACACCAGAGGCGAAGGCGGCUACCUGGACAAUUGCUGACGCUCAGGCACGAAAGCGUGGGGAGCAAAAGGG